UACGGUCCGUUGCUGGUUUCGAAACUGUAGUUGCGGAUGGACGCAAUGUAGAAGUCGCUCCUCUUGCUCGGCCUCGUCCAGCCCCUCGUUCUCGAAGUAGCCGACCACGUCCGUGGUACCGGGUAGCUGUCGCUAUAGCUGCAGUGUCAGGAACCCUCGUGUUAGCUGUAUAACGUCUCCUACACACUACUCGUCAAACGGUAGGUGGCACGUUUUCUAGGUCUCGACGAGCCGCCGUACUAGCUGCUGGGUGGGCUUCUCGGCGGCAGUGAUCACGAGUAGCUCUCGGACUACGGGGCGUUCCUUACCCGUCUCCUGGACACACUAAGUCAGUUCUAUUUCCGUCGGAUGGCGAAGUAUUAACGGGCGCUGCCGACACAGUUGGAGCUAGGGCUACUACACCACCGGUCCGAGCUCACGUAGGAACCGCCUCAACUACAGGGGCUGCUUUCUGUACCUUUACCUCGCCAAGGCACCUCAACAGUACGCGCUCUAACGUGCGACAGUUCGAGAAGAGCUUCUCCGGGUCAUCGGGGUUCUCGGAGGGUCGCGGUCGUCGAGGCAUCCGUCUCCGCCCAGCCCUGUGAGCCUCACUUGCCGGCGUACCCACGAUACAACUAGUACCUCAGACUCUUCUGGUAGCAGCCUUCCGGCGGUCGAGUCGGAAAAUCGAAUAUAAAAUAAUAUUAAUCGCGCGCGUCCCUGCGGCCUCGCCUCGCGCGGCGCCGGCGGAGUUGCCGCUCGUUGGUGCACAGUUUAAGCUAAAGGUGAAGUGCCAGUAAAAGUGACCGGAUACUGCCCACCCGAGCAAAGCCCGCAAGUAACCGACCCAGUCGGCACGGGCGCACGUCCUCUAAAACCGGUUAGGUGAGGCGCAUAAGGCGUUGGUUAACGGGUUAGGGAAGGAGCGGAGUCAGGGCACGGUCGGCGGCGGGUUUGGGAUCGGGGGCAAAGGGAGCUAGGGGUGUCGGAGAGGGCGGAGGAGGUAGGGAGCAGGAGGGUAGUGGUGCAGGAGACGGUACCUCGGAGCGGUGGCGCACGAUGAGGAGGUGGUGUGACGGGAAGGUGGAGCGGUAGGAAGAGGAGAGACAGAUACGCCAGCAGCCACCGCGGACCAAGGUUUAGGCCGCGUCCAAUCGGCUCAGCCGGCUACCACUCCACUUCCUCGUCCUACGUCGGCGGGGUACCGGCCGGAGCUGCUCGUGCCGGAGCUAGGCCGGAGUCGGCCUCCUGGAGCUCGGAUCCUCACGCCGGAGCUAGCCCUGAGCCGUAGACCCCGCUGCUGCCUCCUCCUCCCCUUUCCUCCCCUCGUCGUCGGUCGUAGACCCCGCCGCCGCCGACCUGAGGUACUCGACCGGCUCCACGAAGUACAGUUCCUUCGUCGACUGUCAAGUUCGACUGGACGACCACAACGACGACACGACAUCUCCACCAUAACUUCAACACCGACAGUCAUCAGGAAAAUAACUACGAUUGAUGUACCGGAUAUACAAGUUCAUACUGAGGUGACUACCGGGGAAAUUUCCUAGGUAAUUCCAACACCUACUAAGUUAUAACCUCUAAUUACGCUUUUUUAGUGUUGGUGUUCGUUUUCAUUCUCCUUUACCCCGCAACAAUCCGCCCUGGAACGAUGACAACGGAACCCAAAACCGUAGCUUCGUGGUGGUACAUACCGAUCGGAAGGUACCGAUGUAACUCCCAGGGUUAGACGUCUUGUGACCGCGGCUCCUAGACGACGAGACAGAGCCCCGAGUCGCGGGAGAACCCGCGUCUCCAACCGCACGAGAGGGAGACGUGGUCCCAAGACUACCGGCGCGAAGCAGACCGUCGCGAUCUGUUGCCGUUCUUCCUUCUCGAGCCCGGUGGGCGCUGCGGUCCGGCGGCCGGGAGGAGGGAGCUCGCGUUCCGCCGCUUCUCUACCAACUCUACCACGACGUCGAGGCGUACAUGACCGAAGAUGUUGCAGAGAAUCUUAAACCAACGAUGAAGAACGACUAGUCCACGUUACAUAAUUAAGUUCAUCAUACAAUACAUGUUAAACAGUUCUCGUUAGCCUACAAUUAGACGAUACCCGUCGCCGCCAUGUACUUCCACGUUCCGUCGUCGCUGUACAAGUAUUAUAUGUUCGGACGAAUGUAGAGGGUUAUAGAGGAGGACCAGUUCCGUUAACGUGUACUACUUCUGCGAGUAAAAUCUAGUCAAGUACCGUAUACACAGAUAAACACAGAUAAAGGAAAUCUACUUCAUGCUGAUGGAAGCGUGUCAUGGGAACGUAAACACAAGAAUAGUUUAUUCAAAGAAAGACGUCUUAAACAAGUCCAAAACAGAGCGAGUGUGGAGUUCUACGCUCAGACCCUCACGCCACGACUGACAUCCUCGUUGACCACGAACACCCUGACCACGAACGUCAACAACGUCGACAAGAACUCCCGGCUCGACUUACAUAGACUCUUUCCAUAUAAAGGAAAUAGUGAGGGGGUCGUCUGUACU
rnacentral:rRNA from 1 species